GUGAAUCAUCAAAUUUUUGAACGCAAAUUGCACUCUCCUCGGUGAGUAUGCCUGUUUGAGUGUCAGCCUAUAAAAUAUCGACAUCGUUGCUGUUUCGCGGUGGCGUUCGUCGGAAAUUGGGUCAUCUUAAAUCCUUUUGGUUUUUAAGCGUCUUAAAUUUUUCUUUUUGGUUAUAUGUACGUUUCUAAGAUUUAUUUCUUUACACGUUUAUGGUAUCGAUUUUUAUUAGACGUGAUCAUCAUAUCGGAUCGCGUUCCUAAUCUUUAAUUAACUGACCUCAGACA
rnacentral:misc_RNA from 1 species